UAACUGGUGGUUGUAACUGGUGUAACUGGUGGUUAUAACUGGUAACUGGUAACUGGUGUAACUGGUGGCUGUAACUGGUGUCACUGGUGUCACUGGCGGUUAUCGUUGGUGUCACUGGUGGUUAUCGCUGUCCCAAGAAACCCUCACCAAAAAUGCCCAGCAGAGCUUCUCCAGUGACUUCCACAACUCACUGACUGCAGUUCAAAGCUCACCCAGGAGUUCCUGAACCAACAAACCUGGAAGGUGGAGCUGUUUGAGCCCUCAGUCAUGAGAGGAGUUUCUGCAUUUUCCAGAAGGAAGGGAGGCCAUGGAUUCCAGGCUGAGGAGCUGAAAAUCCUUUUAGGUCCAGAGCUCCCUGUGAACCAGUGUGGGUUUCCAGGAAUGGCCCCUCUCUGCUGGCAGUGUUUGUGGCACAGCCACACUGUGAGGAGCCAAGGAAGCAGCACAGCCUCACCUUGGGAGGCACCUGGGGCACGAGUGCAUCUUCUGCCACAGGAAUUUCCAUGGAAACAAACUGUUCUAAUGGGAAAGCAUUUGGAGCUGUCUCCAAGCUGGUAAACUUCUGUUGGUGGACAUAAUGCAAAGCAUCCCUGGGCCUGUUCUUCUGGAAAGAGGGAGAUGUCCUCCUGAAGUUCAGAAAUGUCAAAGUCUUAUUUCUUCGUCGUUGCUGGAACACGUCAUUCCGAGCCGGCGCCGUCGGCAGAGGGGAUCAGAGCCAGCACAGCUCCCAGCUCUGGAUCUGCUCCUGGGUGCCUGAGCACAGAGCUGGCCAUCAAAACCACAGGGCAAUGUCUGAGGAGCCUCUCCUCAGUGCCCAGGCUGUCCUGAGAGCACGGCGGGAAAUGAAAGCUCACACAUCUCCUUCUCUCGACAGCUGGGAAGCUUUAGCUGAUUAAACCAA